GUCUGGCUGGCUCAGUUGGAAGAGCCUGUGACUCUUGAUCUUAGGGUUUGGGUUUGAGUCCCAUGCUGAGUA
rnacentral:tRNA from 1 species